AACGAACGCUGGCGGCAGGCUUAACACAUGCAAGUCGAACGCCCCGCAAGGGGAGUGGCGCACGGGUGAGUAACGCGUGGGAAUAUGCCCUUCGGUUCGGAAUAACACAGGGAAACUUGUGCUAAUACCGGAUACGAUCUACGGAUGAAAGAUUUAUCGCCGAGGGAGUAGCCCGCGUAGGAUUAGCUAGUUGGUGAGGUAAAGGCUCACCAAGGCGACGAUCCGUAGCUGGUCUGAGAGGAUGAUCAGCCACACUGGGACUGAGACACGGCCCAGACUCCUACGGGAGGCAGCAGUGGGGAAUAUUGGACAAUGGGCGAAAGCCUGAUCCAGCAAUGCCGCGUGAGUGAUGAAGGCCUUAGGGUUGUAAAGCUCUUUAUCCGGGACGAUAAUGACGGUACCGGAGGAAUAAGCCCCGGCUAACUUCGUGCCAGCAGCCGCGGUAAU
rnacentral:rRNA from 1 species